rnacentral:lncRNA from 1 species
GGAAGAAGGAAUCAGGAGGCAGAGCACAUGGUUAAAGCAUGAGAUGUGAAACCAGGAAGAACCAGGUCUGAACCUUAGCUCCACCAGUGGUAGCUUCAAACCUUGGUCCUUUCUGAGCCUGCUUCUUCAACCGUAAGGAACUCGGAAACGGGACCCAGAAAGUUGUUUUCUCAAGUGGAUGGAACAACACAAGCAAUCAAUGCAAUUUUACCAGACCAAAAACUGUCUAUAAAGAACAAAAUUAGUGGCCAGGUGCAGUGGCUCAUGUCUGUAAUUCCAGCACUUUGAGAGGAUGAGGUGGGAGGAUUACUUAAGCCCAGGAGUUCAAGACAAGCCUGGGCAACAUAGCAAGAUCCUGUCUUUACCAAAAAAACAAAAACAAAACAAAAAAACACAAAAUUAGUAGUUUCCAAGUUUUUCUUUCGUUAGUAUCAAUUUUUUAUUUGUUCUGUUUGCACCAGGCAUCAAGGCUU